ACGUUUUUCGAAAGGGACGCUAAUACCGCAUACGUCCUACGGGGAGAAAGCAGGGGACCUUCGGGCCUUGGCUAUCAGAUGAGCCUAGGUCGGAUUAGCUAGUUGGUGAGGUAAUGGCUCACCAAGGCGACGAUCCGUAACUGGUCUGAGAGGAUGAUCAGUCACACUGGAACUGAGACACGGUCCAGACUCCUACGGGAGGCAGCAGUGGGGAAUAUUGGACAAUGGGCGAAAGCCUGAUCCAGCCAUGCCGCGUGUGUGAAGAAGGCCUUCGGAUUGUAAAGCACUUUAAGUUGGGAGGAAGGGCUGUAAGUUAAUACCUUGCUGUUGUGACGUUACCGACAGAAUAAGCACCGGCUAACUCUGUGCCAGCGGCCGCGGUAAUACAAAGGGUGCAAGCGUUAAUCGGAAUUACUGGGCGUAAAGCCGCGUAGGUGGUUCGGACAAGUUGCAUGUGAAAGCCCCGGCUCAACCUGGGAACUGCAUCCAAAACUGGAGAGCUAGAGUAUGGUAGAGGGUGUGAAAUUUCCUGUUUAGCGGUGAAAUGCGUAAUAUGGAGAACCCCCGUG
rnacentral:rRNA from 1 species